UGGAGCAUGUGGUUUAAUUCGAAGCAACGCGAAGAACCUUACCAGGUCUUGACAUCCCGAUGCUAUUUCUAGAGAUAGAAAGUUACUUCGGUACAUCGGUGACAGGUGGUGCAUGGUUGUCGUCAGCUCGUGUCGUGAGAUGUUGGGUUAAGUCCCGCAACGAGCGCAACCCCUAUUGUUAGUUGCCAUCAUUCAGUUGGGCACUCUAGCGAGACUGCCGGUAAUAAACCGGAGGAAGGUGGGAUGACGUCAAAUCAUCAUGCCCCUUAUGACCUGGGCUACACACGUGCUACAAUGGUUGGUACAACGAGUUGCGAGUCGGUGACGGCGAGCUAAUCUCUUAAAGCCAAUCUCAGUUCGGAUUGUAGGCUGCAACUCGCCUACAUGAAGUCGGAAUCGCUAGUAAUCGCGGAUCAGCACGCCCGCGGUCGAAUACGUUCCCGGGCCUU
rnacentral:rRNA from 1 species